rnacentral:rRNA from 1 species
GACGAACGCUGGCGGCGUGCUUAACACAUGCAAGUCGAACGAAGUGGCGAACGGGUGCGUAAUACGUGGGACACCGGCCCCCCUCUUUGGGAUAAGCCUGGGAAACGGGGUCUAAUACCGAAUAUAGGGGGAUGGGCUCGCGGCCUAUCAGCUUGUUGGUGGGGUGAUGGCCUGCCAAGGCGGCGACGGGUAGCCGGCCUGAGAGGGUGCACGGGCACAUUGGGACUGAGAUACGGCCCAGGCUCGUACGGGAGGGAGCAGUGGGGGAUAUUGCCCAAUGGGCGAAAGACUGAUGCAGCGACGCCGCGUGGGGGAUGAAGGCUUUAGGGUUGUAAACCUCUUUAGCUAUCGGACGGGUAGGUGGAGAAGAAGCGCCGGCUAACUACGGGCCAGCAGCCGCGGUAAUAC